UGUCGCAACGGGAGAAAAUGGAUGAGAGUGCGACAAAUAUGUUUCGACUCGGCGGUGGUGAAGUAGAUCGGAGAUGAGCCCCGAUUCAUUGCUCGGGAUGAGUUCAACUACCGAUAGGGAUUCGAUCAACGCAAGCUUACUUGGGAAAAAGACAUCUCAACAUUGGAUCCACGACUUUGUGUACAUCUUGAUUCAUUGAACUGUCGAAGAGGACGACAGUAAUCAAAGUUCUCCCAGCUAUGUGCCAAAAUUGGCACCAAAAGAUCGGUUGUCAAGCUCUGUUUCCACAGUAAGAAGACGAGGAAGACGAAGAACGGAGACCGUCCAAGAACGCGAAAGAGUCCUUUGACAGUUCGAUGGUGUUUGAUUCAAGGAUUUCAUACUUGCAAUGCACUCAUACUGAGGAUAGAAGAGGAGAGGAGGAGAGAGAUGACGCUGAAGGUGUACGGUCAUCGGCUGUCGCAGCCGUCGCGGGCGAUUAUAAUCUUCUGCAAGGUCAACGGUAUUGACUUCGAGGAGGUGACGAUUGAUUUCACGACGGGCAAGCAUCGUUUGCCCGAUUUCAAAGAGAUAAACCCAAUGGCAGAAGUUCCAGCAAUUGUUCAUGGAGAUUUAAAGCUCUUUGAGAGUCAUGCCAUUUUGUGCUAUCUUGCUAGUGCAUUUCCAGGAGUUCCGGACCGCUGGUAUCCUGCUGAUAUCAUCUCAAGAGCAAAAUAUACAGUCCAUUUUGGAUUGGCACCAUUCCAACCUACGCCGUGGUGCAUUGAACUACUGUAUCAACAGUGCACUGGGACCUGUACGCAGUCUUCCAUUAAAUCCACAAGCAGCAAUUGAAGAUGAGAAAAUUUUAAGUGCGUCCCUUUCAAAGUUAGAGUCUGUAUGGCUUAAAGGAGAUGCAAAAUUUUUACUGGGAAACCUCCGGCCAUCUGUUGCAGAUCUCAGUCUUGCCUGUGAGAUUAUGCAACUUGAGGUUGUGGAUGAGAAAGAUCGUGAGAGAAUAUUGGGGCCUCACCCGAAGAUAUUGGAAUGGAUCGACAAUGUAAAGUGUGCUACCAGUCCUCAUUUUGAGGAAGUCCAUGAGCAUCUGCAGGAAGUCAAAGGCAAGAAUAGCAUUAUUGAAGUCAGCCUGAAAUCCAACCCGAAACCUUUAAUCCGAUAGAACAGGUGAUCUGAUGCAGCAGUUUAUGUGUAGUAGCUUGCAGUGAUUGUAAUGUAGCACUGAAAUAAUGUGCGCUGUGUGCGUGUUUAUUUUGGAUCUUUGUGGUGUAUUAAGAACAGUUCUUGAAGUUUUCCUAUGUAUCAAACCUUCUAAAUUAAUGAUUAAAACAACUAUUGUAUU